rnacentral:rRNA from 1 species
AGUCGUGGCGGAGGCUAACACGAUGCAGGUCGUAGACUGCGCGCAAUGUGUAGGUGGCGAUGACAGGUGAGUAACAGCGUGGGAGACAUGCCGCGUUCGGUUCGGAGAUGAACUCAAGUGAAACUUGAGGCGUGAAUACCGAAUACUGUCCAGCGAGGGAGAAAGAUGCAUCGCCGGAGGAUUGGCCGCGGCGUUGCUUGAUUAGCUUAGUUGGUUGAGGUAACGGGCUCACCAAGGCGACGAUCAGUAGCUGGUCUGAGAGGAUGAUCAGCCACGAUUUGGGACUGAGACACGGCCAAACUCCUACGGGAGGCAGCAGUGGGGAAUAUUUGGACAAUGGGCGCAAGCCUGAUCCAGCCAUGCCGCGUGAGUGAUGAAGGCCCUAGGGUUGUAAAGCUCUUUUACCUGGGAAGAUAAUGACGGUACCAGGAGAAUAAGCCCCGGCUAACUUCGUGCCAGCAGCCGCGGUAAUACGAACGGGGGCUAGCGUUGUUCGGAAUCACUGGGCGUAAAGAGCACGUAGGCGGAUCUUUAAGUCAGGGGUGAAAUCCCGAGGCUCAACCUCGGAACUGCCUUUGAUACUGGGGAUCUCCGAGUCC